rnacentral:snRNA from 1 species
AUACAUGUGUCACGAAUAAACAUUUCCGCCCGCACUCCCAGGGCGAGGCGCGGGCAUUGCACUGCGCCCGUGCUGACCCCUUCCAGUACCCCACACUGGGGCAGAUGGGGCAUGUACUUUUUGGUAGCUGGGGGGACUGCGUGCGUGCUUUCCCCCC